AAAGGAAUUGACGGGGACCCGCACAAGCGGUGGAGCAUGUGGUUUAAUUCGAAGCAACGCGAAGAACCUUACCAGGUCUUGACAUCCUGAUGACCAUCCGGGUAACGCCGGACUCCCUUCGGGGCAUCAGAGACAGGUGGUGCAUGGUUGUCGUCAGCUCGUGUCGUGAGAUGUUGGGUUAAGUCCCGCAACGAGCGCAACCCUUAUCUUUAGUAGCCAGCAGUUCGGCUGGGCACUCUAGAGAGACUGCCAGGGAUAACCUGGAGGAAGGCGGGGAUGACGUCAAAUCAUCAUGCCCCUUAUGAUCUGGGCUACACACGUGCUACAAUGGCUGCUACAAAGAGACGCGAACCCGCGAGGGCAAGCAAAUCCCAGAAAGGCAGUCCCAGUUCGGAUUGUAGUCUGCAACUCGACUACAUGAAGCUGGAAUCGCUAGUAAUCGCGAAUCAGAAUGUCGCGGUGAAUACGUUCCCGGGUCUUGUACACACCGCCCGU
rnacentral:rRNA from 1 species